rnacentral:rRNA from 1 species
ACGAACGCUGGCGGCGUGCUUAACCAAUGCAAGUCGAACGGAAAGGCCCUGCUUUUGUGGGGUGCUCGAGUGGCGAACGGGUGAGUAACACGUGAGUAACCUGCCCUUGACUUUGGGAUAACUUCAGGAAACUGGGGCUAAUACCGGAUAGGAGCUCCUGCUGCCUGGUGGGGGUUGGAAAGUUUCGGCGGUUGGGGAUGGACUCGCGGCUUAUCAGCUUGUUGGUGGGGUAGUGGCUUACCAAGGCUGUGACGUGUAGCCGGCCUGAGAGGGUGCCCGGCCACAUUGGGACGGAGAUACGGCCCAGACUCCUACGGGAGGCAGCAGUGGGGAAUAUUGCACAAUGGGCGGAAGCCUGAUGCAGCAACGCCGCGUGGGGGAUGACUUUCGUCUUGUUGUAAACCGCUUUCGCCUGUGACUAAGCGUGAGUGACGGUAAUGGGUAAAGAAGCACCUUUUCCCUACGUC